UACGUAGGGGGCAAGCGUUGUCCGGAAUUAUUGGGCGUAAAGCGCGUGUAGGCGGCUCGGUAAGUCUGCUGUGAAAGUCCAAGGCUCAACCUUGGAAAGCCGGUGGAUACUGUCGGGCUUGAGUACGGAAGAGGCGAGUGGAAUUCCUGGUGUAGCGGUGAAAUGCGCAGAUAUCAGGAGGAACACCGAUUGCGAAGGCAGCUCGCUGGGACGUUACUGACGCUGAGACGCGAAAGCGUGGGGAGCAAACAGG
rnacentral:rRNA from 1 species